AAAUAGUAUGGAGAUCAUCCACUUGAAUUUCAUUAUUGAUGUUCUUAUCUUCAAUUUUCCUUUUUUUUACCAUGUGAGUGAGAGAGAGAGAGAGUAUUGGGACAUGGUCAAGCUCAAGCAUCCUGGAAGUUUGCAAGGGCCGGGUUUGGACACAACAAAAGGUCAGAGGUGAAGUUUUGUUGCACCUCAAAGAAGUGAAUAAAUUUUCUUCUAGAGUAUUGGGACAUGGUCGAUUUUCCUUGGAUGACCACUCGGUAUUCAUCAUAAUACUCUUCUAGAGUUCCUCAAAUCAAUGGCUGGCCACAUAAAAACCAAGUUAAAUCCUAAAGCUGUUCCAAAAUAUAUAACAUCCCAUUUGUAUACAUUAUCAGGUCGAGAUAGGUAUGACCCCAAAAAAAGCCAGAACUGAAAACCACAAAAUCAUUAGUAGAAACAGCCAUGUCAAUGUUUAAUUUCUUCUGCAGGUAUGCUAAUCUUGUUGGGAUGAGAUAACUAAACUGCCUCCAUGAUCCUACUAAUCUCCUCCACCCAAAGAAUCCACUACAUGUUGAACCUGGGACAAGUGCUUAUUCCCUCUAAGGUGAGAAACCAUAUGAACCUCACCAGGGCACUUAACAUUACAGAUAACGCACCAUAAUUUAGACUUAUCCACCCCAUACCCAGUAGUGUUCUUUACUUCUUUCUGUUUGCAUUGCUCACUAGUCCGGUUCACUUGUAUCAUGUCCUCUUGUUUCUUACUUUUAUUUUGGUUUAUCCAAUCACCAGAAAUGGGCUUUGGGGGCUCCUGAUUGGCUGUUGAAGACAAGCAGCCCUUGUGCUUGCUUGAUUGCUUUCAGCUCUGGACACUGGGAUAUGUGUUUCCGCCCAUAAAAAUGACUUCAAUUUUUCUUCACAUGUGGUCGUCACCUGACAAACAGCACACAUCCACUCUUUCUGAACAUUCUCCGAAGCGGGUCUCUCCUGGACUUUGAUCUCUCCACCACCAGCUGCAACAACAGGCUUACUGAGUAUGGCAUACCUUUCUGUCAAUGAGUUUCUCCAAAGCUUCAGAUUCGUUCUCUUUAACAUACAUCUCUGCCAUGGCUAGAAAGUUUUCUGCAUUGAGAGCUCUGCGCACGUAGCCCUGUGUUUUCUCCCAUAAAGAUGAGACAUCAAGCUUGCCUCACACGUGGUUGUCACCUGACAUAUGGCACAGGUCCACUCUUUCUGAACGUUCUCCAAAGCAGGUUUCUCCACAUCUUUGUUCUCCCCGCCACCAGAUGUUGCAGCAGUGACAUGCAGCACAGGUCCACUCUCUCUGAACAUACUCUGAAGCAGGUAUCUCCGUGACUUUGUUCUCUCCACCACCAGCUGCCACUGCAGCACAGGUCCACUCUCUCUGAACAUCCUCUGAAGCAGGUAUCUCCAUGAAUUUGUUCUCUCCACCACCAGCUGCCGCUGCAGCACAGGUCCACUCUCUCUGAACAUUCUCUGAAGCAGGUACCUCCGUGACUUUGUUCUCUCCACCACCAGCUGCCGCUGCAGAAGGUAAUAUACAUGCUCUACAGUCCGAAGCACACCCACACACUCUGCACUUCGACGAACAAUGACGAAGGGUGAGACGCGAAGAGCACCGCGGAGAAGGCCUAGAAGACGAAGGCCACCGCGAGAGCUGCAGCAAGAAGGAAGAAGAGAAAUACCUUAAAUUUUGGUGAUGUAUUUUUUACAUACGAAUGGUACUUUUUCUGUUUUUUGCUAUGUAAUAUAACUUGUAUGUAAUUUGGUGUCUGAUUACGAACAGGAACUUAUGUAAUGUAAAUAUUGGGUUAGAGUUGAUGUUAUUGUGAUUCAAUUGGUUUCGCUUAUUUCAUAAGACUGAUGUUGUACAAUGAAUAAAUGAAUGGAAAGGUUAUUUGUUUUAUUCAAUUGGUAGUGUAUUUUUUGUAAGAAUGAGAACGUUAUUUGUUAUAUUCAAUGAAUAAUGGUUACAUUUUUGGAUUGUCACGAUUGAGAAGAUGAACAAGUUAAGAGAAUGUGUA